CGGGGAUGGACCUCCAGAUUUCCUUACUGAGACGGAGUCUUGCUAUGUUGCCCAGGCUGGUCUUGAACUCCUCACCUCAAGCGAUCCUCCCGUCUUGGCCUCCCAAGUGUCAGGAUUACGGGCAUGUGCUAUCACACCCAACCUGAUACAUUGCCUUUAUAAAUUUUUUUUUCUUUAUUCUAAAAACCAGAAAAAACAAAACUGGAUACAUGUGCAGAACAUGCAGGUGAGACGUGGUCUUGUAACACAGUGGUUAAGAAUGUGACUUUGGAGCCAGCCUGCUAGGGGCUGAAUUCUGACUCAGCCAUUUACUAACUGUGUGACCUUAGGUCACAGAAUUUUCCACACUCCUUGACAGAGGUGCUUAACCCUUAUCCAUCAGCAUUCUCAGACAGCACCUCCGGUUAGGGACAGUAUCUGACCGUCCGACAUCCCUGCAGCCCCCAUGUGUCACACAGACUCAGCCUCAGGUAGAUGGUUUCCGUAGAUGGUGGCUUUCUUUGGACCCUUGACAUCAACCAGUUACUAUUUGGGGACCAGAUGUGCAGAGGUAAUGAAUACCAGGGAAUCAGGAAACCACUGGAUCAGUUCUUUGAGCCACAGAACAACACUCAUCCCAGCAGCUGGGAAGCUAUCUGCAAAAGUCCAUCUGCAGAAAGGGCUUCCUGGUCUUGCGUGUGGCUGGGCCAUUUCUCUGGAUGCAGGUUUUUCAUUAUACAGUCUUCUCAAAG
rnacentral:lncRNA from 1 species